rnacentral:lncRNA from 1 species
GGGAGGAGAAUAUAUAUAAACUUGUUAUGAAGUGCUAUCUAUUGAGAGUUUCCCUACCUUUGCCUCUGGCCAAUCUUUGGGUAUUUAUAGAUGGUAUGAACCGUGGGAUGUGGAACACGUGUAUACAUCUGACGGUAUGAAGUGUCUGCUCAUAGACGUCAAUCAGCCGCGCUUGUAGAGUGGGCGGACAGUUUGUUUCCCCCUAGUUGAAUUGACAUAAAGUUGAUAAGUCACAUCAAAUAGCUUUAUGGGGGACGUCACAUCAAUUUAAACCUUAUAUGCAGAGCAAAUCUUAAAUUGGCAGCGAUUCUUCUAACGGGGGUUCAAGCCACUUGAACCCGACCUCGGAGACGGGACACUUCGGAAGAUCAGUGGCAGGAAUCGAUGUAUCACUUCGGAGAGGCUUCGGGGGGGUCGGAGUGGUUCCGAGGCUCAUAAAAAGGAAAUCUGUUGACCUCCAAAAAUGGCUCCAACAGGCACCCUCGCUCCGUCCCCUCGAAACCUUAACAUGGGAAUUGAAUUCAUAUUAUAGAGAAAUGAUGUGAAAUGGGCUAAGGCGGGUUAAUGGGCCUAAGUUCGAGCCCAGUACGAGGUGAGCAAAGUGAUAGGCACUUCGGCUAGGCGCACAACACUAAUGGCCCUAGCUCGGGUCCAAUAAGGUGGCCCAAUAUGGAGU